GGCGCAUUCGUCUAGUGGUUAGGACACGGCCCUCUCAAGGCCGCGGCAGGGGUUCGAAUCCCCUAUGCGCUACAA
rnacentral:tRNA from 2 species